GACGAACGCUGGCGGCGUGCCUAACACAUGCAAGUCGAACGGAGAUACGAUUUCGGUUGUAUCUUAGUGGCGAACGGGUGAGUAACGCGUGAGCAACCUGACUCUUAGAGGGGGAUAACACUCGGAAACGAGUGCUAAUACCGCAUAAGACCACGACAUGGCAUCAUGACGAGGUCAAAGGAGCAAUCCGCUGAGAGAGGGGCUCGCGUCCCAUUAGAUAGAUGGCGGGGUAACGGCCCACCAUGUCCGCGAUGGGUAGCCGAGCUGAGAGGCUGAUCGGCCACACUGGAACUGAGACACGGUCCAGACUCCUACGGGAGGCAGCAGUGGGGAAUAUUGGGCAAUGGGCGCAAGCCUGACCCAGCAACGCCGCGUGAGGGAAGAAGGCUUUCGGGUUGUAAACCUCUGUCCUUGGUGACGAAACAAAUGACGGUAGCCAAGGAGGAAGCCCCGGCUAACUACGUGCCAGCCGCUGCGGUAA
rnacentral:rRNA from 1 species